CUGCGGAAUUAAUUGAAUCGAGCCUUGGUAUGGAAACCUACUAACUGGUAGCGUCCAAAUUCAGAGAAACCCUGGAAUGAGAAAUGGGCGAUCUUGAGCCAAAUCUUGUCUACAAAAAACAAUAAUUCCUAGAAAGCGGGAAGUAUAGGUUCAGAGACUCAACAAAAGAUGUUCCAACAAAUGGAGCUGACCUCGUCUAUAGAGAAAUCAUUCUAUAUAUAAGACUCCGGAAGUGAUAAUCCUAUGUAUUGGUAUGGAAUUG
rnacentral:ncRNA from 1 species